rnacentral:sRNA from 1 species
AUUUCCAGCAAUGUCAACCAGAAACUCCAACAUAACUACUUUCUAUGGAUGCCAGAAUCACCUUUUUCCAGCCAUUAUUCAGUUGUAUCAUUUAGUGCUCAGAAUUUUGAUGUCAUACGACUGUCAACUUACAGAACAGCCUGCAAAUUACGAUUUGUACAAAAACGAUGCAACCUUCAUCUUGUUGAUAUCUGGAACAUGAUUGAAGCCUUCCGAGACAAUGGCCUUAAUACACUGGACCAUACCACCGAGAUCAGUGUGUCCCGCCUCGAAACUGUCAUCUCCUCCAUCUACUAUCAGUUGAACAAGCGCCUUCCUUCUACUCACCAAAUUAGUGUGGAACAAUCUAUCAGCCUCCUCCUCAACUUUAUGAUUGCUGCAUAUGACAGAUGUUUUCUCCCAGAUGUCAGAUUCCAAUGGCUUAAUGAUAUUUAGCAAGUUUGACCAGUUUCUGAAGGAAGUUCUGAAGCUCCCAACAGCUGUCUUUGAAGGGCCAUCUUUUGGUUACACAGAGCACUCAGUCCGCACCUGUUUUCCACAGCAGAGAAAGAUAAUGCUAAAUAUGUUUUUAGACAUGAUGAUGGCUGACCCUCCUCCCCAGUGCCUUGUCUGGCUACCUCUCAUGCACAGGCUUGCCCAUGUUGAGAAUGUCUUCCAUCCCGUGGAGUGCUCCUACUGCCGAUGUGAGAGUAUGAUGGGUUUCCGGUACCGAUGCCAGCAGUGCCACAACUAUCAGCUCUGCCAGAAUUGCUUUUGGCGUGGCCAUGCCGGUGGCCCUCACAGCAACCAGCACCAGAUGAAGGAGCAUUCCUCUUGGGUAACUGCU